CCAAUAGCGUAUAUUAAAGUUGUUGCAGUUAAAAAGCUCGUAGUUGAACUUCGGGGUUCACCCAUUGGUCAGGCUUAACUGUCUGUACCGGUGAGAUGGAUCUCUACCUUCUGAGGAACUUUCAUGCCAUUUAGUUGGUGUGAUGGGAAAUCAGGACUGUUACUUUGAAAAAAUUAGAGUGUUUAAAGCAGGCUAUCGUCUGAAUACAUUAGCAUGGAAUAAUGAAAUAGGACGGACUGGUUCUAUUUUGUUGGUUUCUAGGAUCACCGUAAUGAUUAAUAGGGAUAGUUGGGGGCAUUAGUAUUCAAUUGUCAGAGGUGAAAUUCUUGGAUUUAUUGAAGACUAACUACUGCGAAAGCAUUUGCCAAGGAUGUUUUCAUUAAUCAAGAACGAAAGUUAGGGGAUCGAAGACGAUCAGAUACCGUCGUAGUCUUAACCAUAAACUAUGCCGACUAGGGAUCGGACGAAGUUAAUUUUAUAAUGACGCGUUCGGCACCUUACG
rnacentral:rRNA from 1 species